rnacentral:misc_RNA from 1 species
CAGAGAUCAUGCCCUCACGGGUAGACCUCCCACCCUGUGUUAUUUACGAUUGUUGCUUUGGCAGGCCGCCUUCGGGCACUCGGCUCAGGCUGAGGCGCGCCUGCCAGAGGACCCCCAACUCUGUGUUUAGUGUUGUCUGAGUUUAUUUUUAAUACGUUA